rnacentral:piRNA from 1 species
UGUUGUCUUAAUACUAGUAGCUGGA